rnacentral:misc_RNA from 1 species
AUGCCUAGAAAUUGGAAUAUCGAUGCCAAAUACUCAUUUUUCUGUUUUGCCGAUUGAAUCAUAAUGAUCAACAAAAAUGAACAAACUGAAAGCACCUCAGGAGCAGCAGAACAAAAAGAGGACGAUGAAGAACAAUAUGUACAACUUAGUAGUCUCGGAGAAUAUAAGGACGAAGUUACUCCUCUUUUAAGCCCGAAACAUGUUCCAUUGGUUUUGGGAAAAGUGACCAAAGAAGCAGCAAUUGCAACACAUUCAGCUUUGCAUGGUGGAAUGUCGGAGGAAAAAGAGCGACAAAUUCGGGACAUUUACGACCGUCUCGAUAUUGAUAAUGAUGGAACAAUAGACAUUCGAGAUUUGACUCUUGCCCUCAAACAUGAGACACCUCACAUUCCUGCAAAUCUCGCACCUGUUAUCAUGUCGAAAAUGAGUCCAGAUGAUGAGGGACGCGUCGACUUUUACAGUUUUUCAAGUUACGUUCUGGAAAACGAGCAGAAACUUGCCGAGAUGUUUGCCGAUAUGGAUCGUAAUCAUGAUGGACUAGUCGAUGUUGUAGAGAUGAAAAACUAUUGUAAAGAUAUUGGAGUGCCAUUAGACGAUCAUAAAGCACAACAUAUAGUCAAUAAAAUGGAUCAAACCGGCUCAGCAUCUGUUGAUUUAAAAGAAUUUCAAGAAUUUAUGAUGCUCUAUCCAUCAUCGGAUCUGAAAGAUAUUGUCGAUUUUUGGAGGCACAACUUGAUUAUUGAUAUUGGAGAAGACAGUCAAAUUCCAGAAGAUUUCAGUCAACAAGAAAUGCAGGAAGGCAUUUGGUGGAGACAUUUAGUAGCUGGUGGAGCUGCUGGGGCUGUUUCCAGAACAUGUACUGCUCCAUUUGAUCGCAUCAAAGUUUAUCUACAAGUCAACUCUUCGAAAACAAAUAGGCUUGGUGUUAUGUCAUGUCUGAAGCUGUUACACGCCGAAGGAGGAAUCAAGUCAUUUUGGAGAGGAAAUGGUAUUAAUGUGAUCAAAAUUGCUCCAGAGAGCGCAAUCAAGUUCAUGUGCUACGACCAGUUGAAGCGAUUGAUCCAAAAAAAGAAAGGAAAUGAAGAAAUCAGCACUUUCGAAAGGCUUUGUGCCGGAUCAGCAGCUGGAGCAAUAUCUCAAUCAACCAUUUAUCCCAUGGAAGUCAUGAAAACUCGUUUGGCUUUGCGGAAAACUGGCCAACUGGAUCGAGGAAUCAUACAUUUCGCGCACAAAAUGUACACCAAGGAAGGUAUACGAUGCUUUUACAAAGGAUACUUGCCAAAUCUAAUUGGUAUUAUUCCUUAUGCUGGAAUCGAUUUAGCAAUUUACGAAACAUUAAAACGAACAUACGUAAGAUAUUACGAGACAAACUCCUCAGAACCCGGCGUUUUAGCUCUCCUUGCUUGUGGAACGUGUAGCUCAACAUGUGGACAACUUUCUAGCUACCCAUUUGCACUAGUUCGAACAAGGCUGCAAGCUUUAUCUAUCACACGUUAUUCCCCACAGCCUGAUACGAUGUUUGGACAGUUCAAAUAUAUACUACAGAACGAAGGAGUCACUGGAUUCUAUAGAGGCAUUACACCUAAUUUUUUAAAGGUUAUUCCGGCAGUCAGCAUCAGUUAUGUUGUUUACGAAAAAGUGCGGACGGGUCUCGGCGUGAAAAUGUGUUAAAAUCGGAUAAAGAAAGGUUCCCGUAUGCUCACGAGGAGGCCUCGAGGAUAUUCAUCAGUUCUUGCCAUGUUCGAUUCAUUCCAUAAUACAAUUCUUUUUUUUUCCACGAACUUUCUUGUUGACAAUAUCAGGACGAUCUUUACGGGUUAAGCCUGUAUGGCGAUCGCAUUUUUCAAAGUUCAAUAAAUAAUAAUUCAGUUA